rnacentral:rRNA from 1 species
AUUGAACGCUGGCGGCGUGCCUAAUACAUGCAAGUCGAACGCAGUGGGGACGGGUGAGUAACACGUGGGUAACCUCCCAUCAGAGGGGAUAACACUUUGAAACCGGUGCUAAACCGAUACUGAUGGAUGGACCCGUGGUGCAUUAGCUAGUUGGUGAGGUAACGGCUCACCAAGGCCACGAUGCAUAGGCGACCUGAGAGGGGGAUCGGCCACACGGGGACUGAGACACGGCCCAGACUCCUACGAGAGGCAGCAGUAGGGAAUCUUCGGCAAUGGGCGAAAGUCUGACCGAGCAACGCCGCGUGAGUGGAGAAGGUUUUCGGAUCGUAAAACUCUGUUGUUAGAGAAGCGGUAUCUAACCAGAAAGCCACGGCUAACUACGUGCCAGCCGCCGCGGUAAUAC